UAGUAUUUAGCAUUUAUUGAGCACUAAUAAUGCACGAAGAGUUUGCUAAGAACUUUCCUUUAUUAUUUCAUUUGUCUCACAAUUACCUGUAGGUAAAUAUAUCUUAUAUAUCCUGUAUUUCUCUCUUUUUCAAAUGAGAAAUUAAGUCUCCUGAGUGAAAAGUACCAUCAUCCCCUGCAAGCAUGUGCAAAAACAUCUGAAAUGAGUAUAAAGUACAAGCAGGAAGAUGAAUAGAUCCCUGGGGAGAUUUUACUUCACUGAUAGGCUUCUACCAGUACUACAUUUGUUAAAAAAAAUAUGCAAGUUGGAACGCUAAGAGGAAACACCCCAAGUCUAAGGAGAAACAUCGUUAAGAAUAAAGUCUUAGAAAAGCAUUUCAAUUGGAAAGCCCCAUCCCUUGAGUCAUAAAACAUCCCGCUAUCCUGUGAGAAUGAUGAACAGCCACAGCCACGCUGGGCCUGUGCUUGUACAACAAACUUGACUUUGCUUCUGCGCUUCCCAGAAGACACUCCAGCAUGCUCUGGGAGUAGGCAUACUGGGUAUUUGCACCUGAUGUGCAAGAAAGAGUGCUUGGAAGAUCACAGAAGAGUCAGACAGGAGGAGAGCCGAGGGGUUGAAACCCUCCCGCGAACAGGUACCUGGCACGUACCUGGCACACCAUUCUCCUCCGGAGAGUGCUGCUCUGUCGCCCAGGCUGGAGUGCAGUGGCACAGUCACAGCUCACUGCAGCCUCAAACUCCCAGACAGUGUCUCACUAUGUUGCCCAGGCUGGCCUUGAACUCCUGCCCUCAAGGGAUCCCAAAUAAAUAUAUUUAUUUCUAAAUUCAUUCUAAAUGUUUGCAAUGUUAAGUAUGUGUGGCAAUUUUAUUUUGAAAACAUUCAGAACCUACAGCAAAGUUGCAAGAAUAUUACAAGUUAAUGAUUAUAUGCUCUUCCCCUCUAUUCUCCCACCAUUGAUACUUAGCCAUGCCAACUCUCUCCAUCUCUAUAUUCUACACAUUUACAGUGCAAUUAUCAAAUUUAGAAAACUUAACAUUGACACAAUGCUAUUAUCUAAUAUGUGGUGAAUAUUCAAAUUUUGUUGAUGGUUACAAAAUUUCUGCAAGCAAGGAAACCUGAGUUCAGUGUGGUUCCCAGGGCCUGCUACCUCCUUACUGACUGAGACCUGGGCGUUUGGCCGAAGCACACAUCUCUCAACAGGGGCCACUUAUAUCUUUAUCAAGGGGUGCCUGGGGUGUGUGUGUGUGUGUGUGUGUCUCUGUGUGUGUAUGUGUCUGUGUGUGUGAAAAAACAGAGAGAGAAAUGAAAGUUGUGGAGGUGAGAAAGUAUUUCAUAGGUUAGAUAUUAGUCAUCAUGAACAUUUUUGCAUUUAAAAUGAGUAUCUUAUAGGACAGAAGUUCCUAACGCAGAGUUUUUAAUUUUGUUUUGCUUUUUAUUUUCUAAAAUGACCUUUUAAAAUAAAAUUCCUCCAGCCUGGCCAACAUGGCGAAACCUCAUCUCUACUGAAAAUACUAAAAUUAGUGGGGCGUGGUGGCGAACGCCUGUAAUCCCAGCUACUUGGGAGGCUGAGGGAGGAGAAUCGCUUGAACCUAGGAGGCAGAGGUUACAGUGAGCCAAGAUCAUGCCACUGCACCCCAGCCUGGGCGACAGAGCAAGACUCCGUUUUGAAAAAAUAAAAUAAAAUAAAUAAAAUUCCUCCCUACGAGACAUGAUACCACUAACUCACCCCUCUUCCCAAAUUUGCAAAUCAAGUUAUUAAAGCUCUUUUCAAUUCAUUUUUCCUUUCUGAACAAUGACUAUUUAAUAUAAAGAGUUAACUCGUUCUGUUUUUCAAUACAAAUAAGAAUUACAAACUGUAGAGCUAUUUCUAGCAGAAGUACUUUCUUACGGAACCAAUUUUUCUUCUGAUUAAUUCAAAUUUAUUUUAAACGUGUGAAAGAAUUUCAAAUACUGUUACACAGAUAUUCUAAAUGUCUAAAAUCAACUCUGAAAUAAAGUCCCUACCUGGAGCCUCCCUGGCUCACUUUCUCUUCCUUAGCUAUUCUCUUUUUCUUUCUUCCUGUAUUUUUUCAUUGCAAAUCUUAAAGUCGUGGUAAGACCGAAAACAAGCAAACAAUUAACUGCACAAGGUAACCCCCAUUAGAGAUAGUGCUGUGAAUACCUGCAGAGGGGGCUGUGGAAACAGUGACAGGCUGCACAUGGGGUGGGGGUGGGAGUGAGGAAGACCCAGGAGGGGCCUGGCAGGGGAGCCAGAAGGGCAAAGAGCAGCAGGAGCUCCGCAGGACUUAGUGGGUGAGCAGGCGGGCGAGUGAGGGUCUUGCGGGGUGCCGGGAGCAGGCGGGCGAGCGAGGGUCUUGCGGGGUGCUGGGAGCCCGCAGGACUUAGUGGGUGAGCAGGCGGGCGAGCGAGGGUCUUGCGGGGUGCUGGGAGUGGAUGCGCUAAAGUCUGAGAAGUGGCCAGGGUCCUGAUCGCCGGGGGGUCUGUCGUCCUCAGGGAGGAGCUGGACUUUCCGGCCAGCACAAAGCAAAGCCCUUUGAUGAGAUGCUUUGCUUCAGAAGUCACCUUGGCAGCUGCGUCAGGGAACGGAUGUAGCGGCUCAAGAGUGAACCCGGAAAGGCUCCUAAGGAGGUCCCUGCCUCAGUCCAGGCAAGGCUGUGGCCUAGACGAGGUGGCGGGCUCGUGUGGAUGUGGAGAGAGGUGGGUUUUAGGGGUAGAGCUGGUCCGACUUCCUGAUAAGUAGAUACGGAGUGGGAGGAGUCAGGAGGUCUGUUCCGGGCCCGCCAUUGUGGAGCCGGAAGGGAGGCCACGCUGACAGGGAAGCUGCUGUGAGGUGAAGAAGGUUCGCUGGUUUUCUGGCCCGUACCUGUGCAGGGGUCCCAGGGCCC
rnacentral:lncRNA from 1 species